AUGCAUGACUCAUGCUAGCAUAUAAGUUUGAAAUGAAAGCAAAGGAUCUCACAAUGCAUAGCAUAAAGACAACAGCAAUAGCAACAACAACAAUAAUAAUAAUAGCAACAACAACAACAAGAAGAACAACAGAAACAACAGCAGCAGCAACAACAACAACAACAACAAUAACUACAGCAGCAAGAACAGCACUACCAACACUACCACCACCAACAAGAACAGCAACAACAACAGUAACAACAACAACAACUACAACAACAACAACAACAACACAAACAACAACAGCAACAACAACAGCAACAACAACAGCAACAACAAUAGCGACAACAACAACAACAACAAGAACAACACCAAGAACAACA
rnacentral:lncRNA from 1 species